rnacentral:rRNA from 1 species
UACCAGCACCCGGAGUGGUCGGGACGUUUAUUGGGCCUAAAGCAUCCGUAGCCGGUUCUACAAGUCUUCCGUUAAAUCCACCUGCUUAACAGAUGGGCUGCGGAAGAUACUAUAGAGCUAGGAGGCGGGAGAGGCAAGCGGUACUCGAUGGGUAGGGGUAAAAUCCGUUGAUCCAUUGAAGACCACCAGUGGCGAAGGCGGCUUGCCAGAACGCGCUCGACGGUGAGGGAUGAAAGCCGGGGGAGCAAACCGG